GCCCACUGCAGACACAGGCCCCGCCCCUCAAUUGCCCCGCCCACUAGCCUCCUGCGGCGCUGCUCCUGUCUGAGGCGGGGCCUGGAGACCGGCAACGCUGGGCCACGCCCACCAUAUCGGCCCCGCCCAGUCCCGGGCUCCGCCCCUCCCUCAGCGCCAAUGACCGGCUGUCUGCAGCUCUGGCUCCGCCCAUGUCCCCUGGACCACGCCUCCCCGGCCGGGUCCUGCCGCCACCCGCGGCUCGGAUGCUUUGCGAGGAGACACGGCCCGCCGAGCUGCAUCAGGCUUGCGGUGAGCUGAAGCCGCCGCAGAGCUGGCCCGGCCCCUUAAAGGGACAAGCAGCUUCGGCAGUGCUCGUUUCCCGCUUUAGGUCUCAGCAUCAUGCAUAAAACAUUCUCUGCCCUCCCAGCACCCUCCAGGUCUGGAUUGGGAUGCAUCCCUUGGACUAUGCCAGCAUUAUGCCUACACACAGCAUAGCAGACCAGGCUGCAGUUUCUAGAACAUUCCCACCAGGUCUCUUCAUGGAGAAAUGAAAGAGAGCAGUAAAACAUGAUGGCACAGAGGAAAGGGAGCGGCUGCAAAUCCCACAUGAUGCCACAGCUCCUUCUCAAUAACUCAGAGGGGGACAUUCAGACACAGACCUGAGGAGUGAGCUGUUGGCAUCCUUUCUGCCCACCCCUCCCCCUGCAGAAACCCUCCAUGAGCGGAAAGAGGCAUAGAGAGGUGAGGGGCAGGAGCAUCUCUAAGGGGCCGG